GGAGACAGAGGGGAGCUGUGAAAUCCUGUCUGGUGUGUCUGGCCUCUUACUGUCAGACUCACCUCCAGCCUCACUAUGAAGCUGCUCCAUUGAAGAAACACAAGCUGGUUGAGGCCACAGGACAACUGCAGGAGAAGAUCUGCUCCACUCAUGACAAACCGUUGGAGGUCUAUUGCCGUAUUGACCAGAAGUGUGUCAGUGGUCAGAGCUCACUGAUUGACAGCUGGAGUCUCCUAUCAGAGAGGCGGACAGUGAGUGCGAGCAGUCUGAAUCUGCGGCCCAGGAAGCCGGGGGUGUGUGUGGAUAUUGAGGAGAGGAAGGUCUCCUUUUACACAGUGGAGUCCAGAGCUCAUGUCUACACUUUCACUGACAUGGUCUUCACUCAGGGGGAGAAGAUCUAUCCUGUCUUCAGGACUGAGGAUCAGUAUAAAGACCUUGAGCUGCUGCCUGCUGUCAGUGUGGAGAUUAAACCCGUCACUGACUCAUGAACACAGGCUGACUCUCUCCCAGCUCUCUGUCCACUGCUCACACAGGGAGACGGGUUUACUGACGGGCAGUGAGGUGAUGUCAUAAACAUAAUAGUAAUUUUAGAUGAUGACGAUGUUGUGUUGUGUUUAAAUGCAUUAUAUUAAAUUUAAAAAAAUCAAAUGAGGAAAAAUAACAUGUACCAGAGAGUGAGAUAUACCUCACUACCAGUCUGCUGUACUCCUGACUUGUAAAUAUCUCUGCAAACCCUCCUUUGUUUUUUUUUCUAAUUUUAAGAAAAUAAACUUUUAAAAAUGAAA